rnacentral:tRNA from 1 species
GGUGGGGUUGCAGAGCGGUCAAAUGCAGUAGACUGUAAAUCUACCGUCCAUGACUUCGAUGGUUCGAAUCCAUCCCCCACCACCA